rnacentral:rRNA from 1 species
UACGGAGGGUGCAAGCGUUAUCCGGAUUUACUGGGUUAAAGGGUGUGUAGGCGGACUUUUAAGUCAGCGGUGAAAUCUCCGGGCUCAACCCGGAAACUGCCAUUGACUACUAUUAGUCUUGAAUAUUGUUGAGGUAGGCGGAACGGGUCAUGUAGCGGUGAAAUGCAUAGAUAUGAACCCGGAACACCGAUUGCGAAGGCAGCCUAACUAAGCAAUUAUUGACGCUGAGGCACGAAAGCGUGGGGAUCAACAGG